GACAAAGGUGCGCUCCGC
rnacentral:snRNA from 1 species